rnacentral:snRNA from 1 species
AGACAUGCGUUGAGCAUAAAGCAAACUAUUCUUUCGCCUUUUAGUAAAAGAAUACCAUGUGCGCGGUGCUAUAAAUGACACAUGUCUAAUUUUGUAAGGGUGAACCU